AGAAAGUUGGCUGAGCGGUUUAAGGCGGUUAGCUAGAGUCUAACUAAGAAUUUUUCUUUCAUGCGUUCGAAUCGCAUACUUUCUG
rnacentral:tRNA from 1 species